UAUCCACUACCAUGAUUCGCACCCGACGGCCCACGAUUUUGCUGUAAACCUUGACAUUAACAACGACAAGCGCAUCACCGACGUCGAUAUGAAUAUGUACGCCGGCAUCUAUGACGCGAACCCCAUGGACGGACAGUUUAGUAAGGAGGAGUUCCUAACCUUCAUGCACGCCGUCCACCCAGACCCACACAAUGCAGGGGGACAUGGUUGUCACUGAGGCCUGCGUUACAAAAUGUAAUUCCUUGCAUUUGAAAGGAGGAGCUAAUAAAAGUCUUAUAAAGGGAA